UACGAAGGGAGCUAGCGUUGCUCGGAAUCACUGGGCGUAAAGCGCACGUAGGCGGAUCUUUAAGUCAGGGGUGAAAUCCUGGAGCUCAACUCCAGAACUGCCUUUGAUACUGGGGAUCUCGAGUCCGGAAGAGGUGAGUGGAACUCCGAGUGUAGAGGUGAAAUUCGUAGAUAUUCGGAAGAACACCAGUGGCGAAGGCGGCUCACUGGUCCGGUACUGACGCUGAGGUGCGAAAGCGUGGGGAGCAAACAGG
rnacentral:rRNA from 1 species